GGGUUCAAGUCCCCUCUAUCCCC
rnacentral:tRNA from 1 species